CACAUACAGACACUCUAGACCAUAAAUGCAUGGCCCGCUGUCUAUGCUUUUGUUGCAGUCUCGCCUUGCCUGCAAGGUUUUCAGGUUUUUGCCUUUCUUUUUCUAGGAUCUUUUUCGGGCAAUAAAAGGCACAUCAUACUUCCUUUGUUAAGUCUAAGAAGAAAUCACGAGGUGCAAGAGGAUGGAAGGGGGAUUAUCUCAGCUGGAAGGCGAAAACUGAAUGGUUGGCAAUUGGCGUUACCACCUCAUAGCAAACAAACAGACUUGCACUGGAAACUUUUUU